rnacentral:rRNA from 1 species
UUGACCUCAAAUCAGGUAGGACUACCCGCUGAACUUAAGCAUAUCAAUAAGCGGAGGAAAAGAAACUAACAAGGAUUCCCCUAGUAACUGCGAGUGAAGAGGGAAAAGCUCAAAUUUAAAAUCUGGCGGCUUCG